GUGGGCGUUGUGGGAAAGGACGAAUAUUUGGUUUUCAUAACUAAGGUAUUGGCAUGUGACCACAGAUCGGCAUUGACAUAGUACAGUGGUGCGAGUGAGUCCAUAUGCCUCUUGGAUUCUGCCACUUCUUCAGAUGGUGAACCUCAGAGGUGCAGCAUCAUCGCUUAUCAUCUGACAGUUAAUAUACAAGAGAAAUGUAAACACGGAAUGGGGAAAGUGAGGAAUAGAAAAGAUGAAAAGGAAUAUGCAUUGAAGCAAAUUGAAGGCACAGGAAUAUCCAUGUCAGCUUGUAGAGAGAUUGCAGUAAGUGGAUAUAAAUAUAUUACUUAUUUUGUUGUUGAUAUUGGAUGAUGCUUGAUAUUAAUAUAAAAGCUUUGUUAAUGUAUACAAUGCAUGGUUAUUUCAAAGAUGUUAAUUAGUUUAAGGGUAUGUAAGAUGAGAAAAGCUGCAUAAACUUUUUAAUUAUUUGGAAGUCUUCUUUGAACAAUUCUC
rnacentral:lncRNA from 1 species